CAUUAGGGCAAGGCUGCCCAAAAGUUUUUAUUUAUUUACUUUUUCUCUCUACAGCGCUACUUCCAGUUCAGGCAUGUGCAGCCCUCUCUUGACACGAGACGGGCACUCAGGUACCUGGAGCUAUGUCACUUACAGAGACCAGCCAGUGCAUGCGGUUAUCCGAUUGUCUCGCCAACAAGAGGACUCAUCGCAGCACCCCCCACGAUGGCCGCGUUCACCACACUUUCCUGGCCCCGGCUGCUCGCUGUUCUCAGGGUGCUGUCCGCAUGCACUUCAUCAGCAGCCAACCCGUUGCUGGUGAAUACCCCCUACGCAUGCUCUAACCAACGCGGACCAUCCACUGCAAUGUCACGCUUCAACGGCCGUGGAUUCCCUGCUUCCGCCACAGUAUCUUCAUCGCCCGUGGCCAACUUCAUCGCUACCUGGGACAAUUGCCGCGCCCUCCCCUAGGUUAGACUAUGCCCUCCCCUAGAUUAGACUAUAUAAAGUCUGACCAAACCAUCGCAGUGCUUAGUAGGCUCGGUGGUACUACAGGAAUGGAUCACCCUAACUCUGGUGAUUUUUCUACGUCCACUAAUCUUAAUGAAAUUUUGAAUAUACGUUCUCAUUUGCAUUCUGAUUAUCGAUGCCAAACGAUAUGGCUGCAAAUCACUUAGUUUUCCUGAAAAUGAAUUUUAAACAUCGGUUG